UUUUAUUCCAUGGCACCAGGCAGCUGGGUUGAUCUAGAUCCAUGUGGUCCCCCAGACAGGCACAAAACCGAAGCUUUUCACCUCCAUUUCCUUCAUUUCCAUGUUCCUUGCUCCAACUCUGCAACACACGCCCCUAAGAUAAUAACAUGGCACACCACACGACGCCACCUGCAGGCGCAUCUUAGCAUUCUCAGACCCUUUUCCCAUCCAUCAUCCAUGGAUCCUAACCUCAAAAAUCUCACAAAACCCAUCUCUAGACACCCAACCAGCAAAAACCCAGAUCAUACAAUUCCUUCUAAACAUUUCCACAUGUCAAACCCCUUGUCAAAACUCAACCCAAAUCGUAAACUCAGUACAUUUACCCAGAAACCUGCCAAGAAUCCACUACCGCCUUGUGUAGACACCCAUUUGCAAGCUAAAUCCAUGAGUCUUUCAGCUGAUUUUGAUGGCUCCAGGCUUUCAAUCUUCAAGCCAAAGCACCAAUACCAAAAAAGAAUCGAAUCAAUUGGGGAAAAAGAUAGCAGAGUCGCUGCAACAAAGGAAGAUUCUAAAGACAAGGUCAAGAAAGUAUCAUCUAAAGGGUUGGUGGACAAGAAGAAAGGACAGGAAAUGCUAGUGAUUGAAAAAAAGAAGGAAAUACAUGCCACAGUGAAGGAUAAUAAGGAAGUUAAGGAUCCAGUUGAAGGGCUUGAUAUUAAGAGGAUGACAUUUUCAUUACGUGGUGGCAGAAGAAGAUCCUUCGGUGGCUCACAAGUGGAGUUGGCUGAUUUUCUAGCUCAUAAUGGUGCUAAAUUGGUCUCAGUUGAUAUGCCUCCAUUUAUGCAGAUCCAUGCCGUUGAUUGUGCAAGGAAGACUUGUGACAGUCUUGAAAAGUUCACCUCCAAGACCCUUGCACUCACUCUCAAGAAGGAGUUUGAUGGGGUUUAUGGGCCGGCAUGGCACUGCAUUGUGGGGACAAGUUUUGGAUCCUUUGUGACACAUUCAGUUGGAGGGUUUCUCUAUUUCUCAAUGGAUCAAAAGUUGUACGUUCUCUUGUUUAAGACUACAGUACAAAGAGCAGAGUAAAUCAUUCAGCUUGAUGAUUUGGAAGUCGAAGCAUUUCUAGUAUAGAUAGUUUAGUGAAGCUAAAAGAUAAAAUUGCUGAUAGUUUAGUGAAGCUAAAAGAUAAAAUUGCUGAUAGUUUAGUGAAGCUAAAAGAUAAAAUUGCUGUCCCUUUUGCACCUUGUACAUUGGUUUUGCUUAGGAAAAGCAGUAUAUGAUAUGGAAAUUUCACCUUUUCUCCUGUUCAAGGACCUCCCUUUUUUUGAAUGGUCUAACUUUUCAGUUUUCAGGACAUCUUAGUAAUGGAGCUGGGGUCUAGGAAAUAGGAACAGGGAGCCCCACUGGGCAUUGGCUAGCCCAAAUUGCUAGUUUUACUUUAUUUUCUUCAAUACUUCUUGUUUGUUCCUCUUAUUUAUCUUCUUUUAAGGUUAAACAUAAUACAAAUUGCCUUUCACAUUUGAAGUCUAGAUUGGCUUUUCUUUAAUGGGUGUUCUUGCGAACACCUGGCUUUGAAACCAACCUAGAGCUAUACAUUAAAGGGAUGAAAUUGUGGGAGGUAAUGAACUCUGUUUCUAAGAUCUCUGUUAUUGUUUCAUGCCAUUCAUGACAAAUUGGAAGAGCUUUGAAUAUGGCAUUCUGUGGUUGGGACCAGAAUUGCAGGACUCUUGACUCUUCACUCAACUAUGAAGGGCCAUUCCUUCUCUGUCACCAGGCCAUUAAUUUCAUGUUUCACUCUUGAAUGGGGUAGCUUAUAUACUGCAAAGUCAGUUUAGGUUAUGAUGAUUGUCUAACUAGAGGGUCCAUGGCAUUUAACUUAAAAGUUAAUGUCCAUUUUCAUUUUACUGAUUUCUGAAUGUACUUGCAAAUCGCAGUGUUAUUGUUCUCCAUUUUUUAAGGAAGAUGUAAGGUCAUUUUUAUUGCUCCAAUAAAUGAUAGUCUGAACGAGGCCCCCUUAGUUUGAUGGUAUCCUGAUUAGUUGAUGCAUAAUACAGUCAGUUCACUGUGUUUGCCUUGUGUCUAGGUUUCUACAUUAGGAUUGUGGGAUUCACUCCGCCAAACCAAUUAUGAUCAAUAAUAUGAAAAUAGUCACUUGCCAAUUAGGUUAGCCAUUGAUCAAGUAACUCCAAUAAUAAGUUCAACUCGUGUAACUUCAAUAGUUUCAUCAUCAAGAACUAGCUUGAUUUGGACAUCUUAUUGCUUAUCUUCUUAUACAUUUUGGUGUUGAAAGUGGAGUCUUGAGUUCUUUAAUUCUAAUUACAAGUUCAACUCAUGUAAUUUCAUUUAGACCUCUCUGAUCUGAUAUGAUUGAUGAAUUGUGAAGGAAACAUCAUCAAACACUUUUUGCCAGUUCUACGGUCCUCCCCUCCCGCCUUACUUUCUUCCCAGGAGGAACGGGGCCGUCGGUGUUCCAUCCAUUCAAGAGCUCGGGCAUCUGGCUCUAUAGUAUUGCACCCAUGUCUCCUACUCAUCUGUUUUACUUUCUCCUUUUCAAUUUGUGCCCUGCCAUGAUUACUAGUUUGAAGUUUCUCUGAUUUCUCUGAUUUUAUGUUAAAGUUACUCAAAAAUUUCUCUUUCCUCUACACCAAAUAUACUUAUUCUUUCUCCUUAACCACCACUCCUCACUGCAGUCACCAGCAAAUUUAACAGGCGAGCCGCACCAAACCAGCGAUCUGAAUUGCCAGUUUCGGUCCAGUCCAGUCUAGUUCAAAGUAUGGGGAGAGGGACUGAGCCUGACCCUCAAAGGUCCGGAUUCCGAGCAAAUUCAGAACUGUGAAUCGGUCAACGUUAUUACAUCAAUUUAUAAUUUUUAAAAAUAUAAUAAAAUUUUAUCUAUUU
rnacentral:misc_RNA from 1 species